rnacentral:rRNA from 1 species
UUGAGAGUUUGAUCCUGGCUCAGAAUGAACGCUGGCGGUAUGCUUUAUACAUGCAAGUCGAACGAUUCUUCUUGAAUAGUGGCGAACGGAUGAGUAACGCGUGAGAAUUUGCCCUUAGGUGGGGGAUAACAAUUAGAAAUGAUUGCUAAUACCCCAUAGGCUGAGAAGUUAAAGAAUUUCGCCUAUGGAUAAGCUCGCGUCUGAUUAGCUAGUUGGUGGGGUAAUGGCUUACCAAGGCAACGAUCGGUAACUGGUUUGAGAGGACGACCAGUCAUACUGGGACUGAGACACGGCCCAGACUCCUACGGGAGGCAGCAGUAGGGAAUUUUCCGCAAUGGGCGAAAGCCUGACGGAGCAAUACCGCGUGGAGGAAGAAGGCUUUUGGGUUGUAAACUUCUUUUCUCAAGGAAGAAAAAAUGACGGUACUUGAGGAAUAAGCACCGGCUAACUCCGUGCCAGCAGCCGCGGUAAUACGGGGGGUGCAAGUGUUAUUCGGAAUUAUUGGGCGUAAAGCGUCUGUAGGUGGCAUAGUAAGUCCUGUGUUAAAUCUCGAAGCUUAACUUCGAAAUGGCAUAGGAAACUACUAAGCUUGAGUUCGGUAGGGGUAAAGGGAAUUCCCAGUGUAGCGGUGAAAUGCGAAGAGAUUGGGAGGAACACCAACGGCGAAAGCACUUUACUAGGCCGAAACUGACACUCAGAGACGAAAGCUAAGGUAGCGAACAGGAUUAGAUACCCUGGUAGUCCACACCGUAAACGAUGAGAGCUAGUUGUCUGCAGGCAUGCCUGUAGGUGACGCAGCUAACGCAUUAAGCUCUCCGCCUGGGGAGUACGGCCGCAAGGUUAAAACUCAAAUGAAUUGACGGGGGCCCGCACAAGCGGUGGAGCAUGUGGUUUAAUUCGAUGCAACGCGAAGAACCUUACCUACUCUUGACAUCCAGAAAAUUUGGCAGAGAUGCCUCAGUGCCUUCGGGAAUUCUGAGACAGGUGCUGCAUGGCUGUCGUCAGCUCGUGUCGUGAGAUGUUGGGUUAAGUCCCGCAACGAGCGCAACCCUUGUCCUUAGUUGCCAGCCUUAAGUUGGGCACUCUAAGGAGACUGCCGGUGACAAACCGGAGGAAGGUGGGGACGACGUCAAGUCAUCAUGGCCCUUACGUGUAGGGCUACACACGUGCUACAAUGGCAGUGACAAUGGGAUAAUCCCCAAAAGCUGUCUCAGUUCGGAUUGUCGGCUGCAACUCGCCGGCAUGAAGUUGGAAUCGCUAGUAAUCGUGGAUCAGCAUGCCACGGUGAAUACGUUCCCGGGCCUUGUACACACCGCCCGUCA